GCUAGCGGCAGGCUUAAUACAUGCAAGUCGAACGGUAACAGCAGAGUUUACUUUGGCUGACGAGUGGCGAACGGGUGAGUAACGCGUACACAAUCUACCUUUAAGUGUGGGAUAGUCUAUGGAAACGUAGAAUAAUACCGCAUGGUAUUUAAUAAUCGCAUGGUUAUUAGAUUAAAGAUUUAUUGCUUGAAGAUGAGUGUGCGUCCUAUUAGCUAGAUGGUAAGGUAACGGCUUACCAUGGCGACGAUAGGUAGGGGGCGUGAGAGCGUGAUCCCCCACACGGGUACUGAGACACGGACCCGACUCCUACGGGAGGCAGCAGUAAGGAAUAUUGGACAAUGGGCGCAAGCCUGAUCCAGCCAUGCCGCGUGCAGGAAGACGGCCCUACGGGUUGUAAACUGCUUUUGUAUGGGAAGAAUGGCCCCGACGUGUCGGGGUAGAGACGGUACCAUAAGAAUAAGCACCGGCUAACUCCGUGCCAGCAGCCGCGGUAAUACGGAGGGUGCAAGCGUUAUCCGGAAUUACUGGGUUUAAAGGGUGUGUAGGCGGGCUGGCAAGUCAGGGGUGAAAUCCCACAGCUUAACUGUGGAACUGCCUUUGAUACUGCCGGUCUUGAAUCUCGGAGGGGUCACUAGAAUUCGUGGUGUAGC
rnacentral:rRNA from 1 species